rnacentral:rRNA from 1 species
UACGAAGGGGGCUAGCGUUGUUCGGAUUUACUGGGCGUAAAGCGCACGUAGGCGGAUCGUUAAGUCGGGGGUGAAAUCCUGGAGCUCAACUCCAGAACUGCCUCGAUACUGGCGAUCUUGAGUACUGGUAGAGGAGAGCGGAAUUCCCGGUGUAGAGGUGAAAUUCGUAGAUAUCGGGAGGAACACCGGUGGGCGAAGGCGGCAUCCUGGACCGGCAUUGACGCUGAGGCGCGAAAGGCUAGGGGAGCAAACGGG